rnacentral:rRNA from 1 species
GACGAACGCUGGCGGCGUGCCUAAUACAUGCAAGUAGAACGCUGAAGCGAGGAGCUUGCUCUUCUUGGCUGAGUCGCGCACGGGUGAGUAACGCGUAGGUAACCUGCCUUGUAGCGGGGGAUAACUAUUGGAAACGAUAGCUAAUACCGCAUAACAAUGGAUGACCCAUGUCAUUUAUUUGAAAGGGGCAAAUGCUCCACUACAAGAUGGACCUGCGUUGUAUUAGCUAGUAGGUGAGGUAACGGCUCACCUAGGCGACGAUACAUAGCCGACCUGAGAGGGUGAUCGGCCACACUGGGACUGAGACACGGCCCAGACUCCUAGAGGAGGCAGCAGUAGGGAAUCUUCGGCAAGAGGGGCAAACCUGACCGAGCAACGCCGCGGGAGUAAAGAAGGUUGUCGGGUCGUAAAGGUCGGUUGUAAGUCAAGAACGAGUGUGAGAGUGGAAAGUUCACACUGUGACGGUAGCUGACCAGAAAGGGACGGCUAACUACGUG